rnacentral:tRNA from 1 species
GUUGUAGCUCAGUGGUAGAGUGUUUGCCUUGCAUGUGUGAGGCACUGGGUUCAAUCCUCAGCACCACA